rnacentral:sRNA from 1 species
AAAACGGCGCAGAAGACAACAGAAGGUAAACAUGUCGAAGGAAGACGAGAAAUACAUGGACGAGUUUGACAAGUACAAUAUUGAGCAGGAUAAAUACGCUCAUGGAAAGAGUGGUGGCAAGCCCGGACGAAGCAAGACUGAAACAGAACAGAACAAGAAGCACGGAGAACACACACGUAAAAUCGCCGAGCAUCUCAUAAACAGCGCUCACAAGUCGGAGAAAGAGCCCGAUCACCAGCACCACAAAAAAUAACCCCGGACUAUGAAACAAAUUUUGAUGCAAAGCAAACCUCAGGAUGGGAACUGAAGAGAAGUUGGAGUCGCUCUCUUUAAAAAAAGAAAAUACAAAAGACUUAAUUAAUAUGCAGUUUACGAAAUAUCAACAAUGCAGAUAAUUGAAUUUUGCGGAAAUGGUUGAAAACCUGAUUGCAAUCUCAUGGACAUGCAGUUAUUUUGAAUAUUUUUUGUGAUAUUUAUCGCUAUAUUUUUUCUGUAUAAAUGUUGUAAAAAUUGG